AACACUGUAUACGGUUGCACUCCAUCUUAUACACCUUUUUUUUUUUUUUCCUUUUUUCUGCCAAAUCUAAGCAUAGAGAAGAGAUGUAACGUAUCGAUAAACAACUCCCGUCCUAUCAUUUCCAGUACCACAAAUUUUACAAAGGACAAUUCUACUGAAGUUAUUUCUCUUAAAACGUAGUUGCAGAAAAUGUUGCCCGUAACUCCUUCGGCAAUACCGGUAAAAUGAAUUCCUUUGACCCAUUUAACAGAGUUCGGUAGAACUAUGAAACGAAAAGAUUCACAAAUAGACACCAUCGACUCAUGCGUCUUUGGGAAAGUAUUGGAAAGGUUUGUUUGUUGCCUUAGGAUUUCUAGAAAUGGUAUUCAGAAACUCCUUUUGUACGUUUUACUUGUAUAACUAUAAAGUCCUUAAGCGGACAAGGAAUCUUGUCUGGUCUUUAAGGAUAAAUACUGUUUAGAAAGAAAUCUUGUUAUUUAUCAGGUCUACAUGUUAUUCAAAAUGUUUUAAAACUACCGUUGAAAUAAUUGUUACCAAUAGUUUUGCGUUUUGCGUUUAUAAAGAUGUCUUGAGUUAUAUUUUUUUCAACGAUGG
rnacentral:lncRNA from 1 species